UCGCUGUCUUGGUUCCGUUGGUUGCUCAUCUCCCCGUCGCGUCGUGGUUCAGCCCUGCGUCGCUGUCUUGGUUCCGUGGUUCCGUGGUUCAGCCCUGCGUCGCUGUCUUGGUUCCGUGGUUCAGCAUCUCCCCGUCGCGUCGUGGUUCCGGUGGUUGCUCGGCGUCGUGGUUCCGGUGGUAUGUUAAUUGUGAAGAUGGGUAGAUACGCAUAUGGUUGAAGAGAGGGGCGAUGAUCGUACUGCCAGCAUAAUCUAUCAUCGUGCUUGUUCGAAUUUCAACAAUUGCAUAAGAUGACUUGAGAUCCCCGAGUCAGAAAUUUUCAGAAGCUUUCGGUGAUUUGUGUCUUUUCAGAAGUUCUCAGAAUCGGAAAAUAAAGCACGUAUUUACUUUUGGUGAGUUGUGCGUUUUCUCCUAGUGUUGCGCUAAUUAACAUGUCUCCUAAUCUUGAGCUAGAAUGACCUAAAUCAAAACGAGCGGGCUUAAAUUGACCUUAGUUGAAUAAAUUGACCUAAAUUGACCUUAGUUGACUAAAUUAGCAUAAAUAUGAAC